rnacentral:rRNA from 1 species
UACGUAGGGGGCGAGCGUUGUCCGGAAUCAUUGGGCGUAAAGCGCGUGUAGGCGGCUCGGUAAGUCUGCUGUGAAAGUCCAGGGCUCAACCCUGGGAUGCCGGUGGAUACUGUCGAGCUCGAGUCCGGAAGAGGCGAGUGGAAUUCCUGGUGUAGCGGUGAAAUGGCGCAGAUAUCAAGAGGAACACCUGAGGCGAAGGCGGGUUGCUAGGCUGACACUGACGCUGAGUGCGCGAAAGCCAGGGGAGCAAACGGG